rnacentral:rRNA from 1 species
UACGAAGGGGGCUAGCGUUGCUCGGAAUGACUGGGCGUAAAGGGCGCGUAGGCGGCUCAUACAGUCAGAUGUGAAAUUCCUGGGCUUAACCUGGGGGCUGCAUUUGAUACGUGUGGGCUUGAGUGGGGAAGAGGGUCGUGGAAUUCCCAGUGCAGAGGUGAAAUUCGUAGAUAUUGGGAAGAACACCGGUGGCGAAGGCGGCGACCUGGUCCUUGACUGACGCUGAGGCGCGAAAGCUAGGGGAGCAAACAGG